UGACCUCCGCAGGCGCCGGCCGCCUUAACCGUUUGCGCCCCGCGGGCCGCGCGCUCCGCUGCGGACGCCCUGCGCGCCAGGCGGCCCUCGCGCCGCCCCUCCUCCGGCCGCGCCGAGCCCCUCGCUGGUGUUUUUGGAUUCGCCGGGGUUUCAAGCAUCAAGUGCCUCCCAGAUGCUCUUUCUGAUUUUCGCCAGUUUUAUUUCGGGCGGGGGCGGGGGGGGGCGGGCGGUGCUGACCACGAGGCGUCUGCUGCUCCGCGCCACUCCGCGGGCGGCGAUCACAGAACAAACGACCGUUAGGUCCUGAGCAGGUCUCUUCCCGGGCGCUGCUGCCGUCCUUGGGGACAAGGACGGACGCCCCCGCAGCGCGCGGAGGUCACGCGUGGCCCCUGCGGGGAGGCCGGCUCCCGCGCGUGACCUCCGCGCCCGCUGAGCCGUUUUCCGCGGGGCCAGAACGCUCGCAGCGACCCUGCUGGAACCUGCCGGUGGCGCUUCUAGCACCGGGAAGAAAGGUCAGGAAAGCGGCGGAGCCCGACCUGGGUCCAUGCGGCGACCCAAAGGAAGGACGGGGGACACCUGCGUCCAAACAGGUCCCUGGGCCCCACCUCACUUGGCUGGGAGAUGCUCGGCUGGCCAUGGGGCCGUGAGCCACGGGCGGACUGGAGGAACUCGGACGUCCAGCUGUCCCACAGUGAACACGCUUCUCCACGCACGCAGUGACAAGGACAUGUGCAUAUAACCAAAGGGGGCCGCUUCUUACAGGAAGGACAGCAUAAAGCACUGCCCUGUACCUGUGUGGCCCUUUGCUCCUGCUCUAGUCCCCGAGGUUGUUCUGCAGUUUAAAACAGCAUUAGCAGAGCUUACUAUAUCCCAGGCGCGUUUAGUCCAGUUAACGGCAAAGGCUAGAAGCCAUAUAAAACUUUUAAGAAAUGGAGGCUUAACUCCCUCUUUCUUUGCCUUCAUUCGUCCAGAGGACUCCCAUGGUGAUCAUGGACUGCGUGAGCGCCGCAGUUACAUCUGCUUCCAAAUGCAAACACACUGAAAGGGCGGCCCCAUCCUCGGUGGCCAUAGUCCCCACUGAGCUCACCUGGUCUCUGCCAGAGCUCCCUCCUGGCUCCACGUCACAUCAUCAUCACUACAGACAUACAAGGUUUGUCUCCUUGUCCCCGUUGUCCCACACCCAAGCGGAGGAGAGACAGGACACAACACAUCACCAGUUUCUAGACAGCGUCUCUACACAUCUUCCAGCAAAAAGAGCAGAAGGCUCAGGCCACGGAGAAGAAUCCAUUGUUCUGUUGGGUGGGAGCCAAUUAAGACUGCUGUCAACCGAGAAUUUUGGUCCUGUCUGUGGAUGCCUUUCGCGUCACCCCAGAAGAGUGUGGAGCGGCUCUCAGCACAGGCAUGUGUCCUCCGGUUCCCUCCUCUCUCAUGAAAGGCUUUAACCUCAUAGCCCACGAGGCUCCUGUUAAAGCCUCAGAGCCUCGUCCCCGGUCAGCACUGGGGUAGACCCGCAGUCAGGUGCCCCUGAACCGCACCUGAGCUCAGCCGAGGGACGCUGAUUGCGUUGGUUGGCUCACUGGUACCUGGAGGACGGUCUCUCCCCAGCCAGCGCCAGGCAGGCAGAUGGCGACCGGCCUAGCCGUGUGUCGCCGUCACUGCCUCGGAGGUGCUGUGGCUGAAGUGGACCGUCGUCUGGAUGGAAGCCCACAUUAAGUAGUUCCGUGAAGGUCACUGGAGCCACCGUGGGUUCGUUACCGACGGCCUUCGUUACCGAUGGCGUUCUUUCGUUAGGCGGCGCCCUAUUUUUUGGGCAUAAGGACGGUCCAGUGCUAAACGUGAGAGGUGCGAGGCAGGAAAAAAUCAUUUAGAAACACACACGCUGAAAAUUACGCAGGAUUGGAAGACGUCUUACCACUACAGUGUUUUAUGAGCAUCACGUCAACCAGGAACUUACCCCAGUCUGGGCUCCCCAGAAGCAGAUCCUGAGGCCGCCGUGGGGACCGAGGAAUGUAUCUGGAACGCAAGCCCGGAAAGCACAGAUGAAGAAAGGGACAAAGUGAAACAGGGAACGGACACAGGUGAAUCAAAGCUCCCCUGGGGCCUCUGAGAAGCAGCGCGGGGCAGAGGGGGUCCGAUCCCCCUGGCUACGGGCGGCAAGCUAAGCUUCAUCCCUCCACUCCCAUCUCCCUGGACCGUGGGUCUCGGCUGGGGGGUGGCCUCCAACUCCACAGAGCCUUAUGUCGUGAGAGCAGGAAGCACACGGGUCCCACGUGGACCACUGGCCACGGUGAGCGGUGGUGGUGAGUGGUAGUGAGCAGAGCCAAUGCUGCUUCUCCGGCUUGGUGCCCAACGCUGCUUCUAGAUCCUGAGACACGACACCCAGUAAAAGCCAUUGGCCCAGCACGUGUGCUGCGUCUUGGAGGACAGGUCUCUAGCCUGAGGAAGUCAUCACCAAGCGGGAUCCCUGCAGGGCCCCAUCCAGUGAGAAGAACUGCUUCUUCCCUCAGACCUGGGGAGAUGUCACCAGCUCACCACCAAGCAGCUGGCGUUACUGAGCAGCAGGUUCGAAUCUGCCCGCACCGUGGGCAGCCGGGUCACUGUGGGUGAGAGGGAGUCCCUGCUGUAGACCUCUUGCCCACCUCUGCCCCUGCCACUGUGGCAGCAGGGCUGGCGGGCGAGGCCCGGGCUUCUUCCCUGGUGACAGAUGCCAUUGGCGCGCCUGCUUGCUGGGUGCCCCUUCCUCCCUGAUGCUCUCUGGAGACCGAGGCAGGAGUCUAGACCCACAGGACCCCUCUACCUCCUUGUAAGGCCCACCCAGCCCUUCCCCAGGGCCCUCCUCCCUCAGGUGGAGCCCUGCCGCCCCUCCUGUCCACCGUGUGCACCUGCUCAAGAGGAGGGGGCCAGCUCAAAGCUUCACUGGCCCGAGGGCUUCUUCUCCCCUUGUCCUGUCGCCCGCCCUGGAGCUGGAAGGGAGCGCGGCAACAGUCCAUACGGCCUUUUGUGGUUCACACCAAGUUAGCAAUGUCACAGGUGCAAGCUGAGCGGCUUUGGGAACCCGGCCGAUGGAGGCAGAUGACUCGGAGGUCUGGGCCAUUUGUGUCAACAGCUUAUGGGUGACCUCCAGACCUGCUCCCACCCCAGCCCAGCCCACCCCGCCGUGCAGGAUGACGGGCAGCCGUGCGGGCUGCCUGGACGCUGUCUUCCAGACCACCCCAGAACAUCUCCUCGGACAUCUUGCUAGGGGGCUCUAGCAGCCUCAGGGAGGCGCACUCUGGUUCUCCCCAUGGGGGCCGUGCUGCACCCACACUCCCCGAGACCCUCCACACUGCCCCGCCUGCUCCCUCACUGCCCCCCAGCAGGAGGAGUCACCCCUGCCUGGACUAAGGGCCAGCUCUGGGUGCCAGCGUGCUAGUCCCGAGACAGAGGCCCCAUCAGAGCCCCGUCCCCAGGCUUACUUGCUUCUCCCACGCCACCCAGCCACCCACCGUCCUAGGCAGGGGGAGCAGCACAGGCCCACAGCCCCUCUGAUGAACGAGCCUUCCUCCAACAGCUGCUGUGGUGUGCCCUCCAGGCCUGCCGAGGCUUGCCCAGUUGCUGGUCUAGAGGCCCUGAGUGAAGACAACCCCCGGGCCACAAAACAGGGCCUUUGCAAACCCCAGGAAGGCCGCACUUCCCUAGCAAAGGAGAGGGACCGUUUUUCUUGUCUUGGAGAGAUCAGGAAAUCGGGAGCCCAAGUUUCUCAAAACCUCCACGCAGGCCCCCCUUCCAGGUCCCAGGGACUGUCACCCCAAACCCAGCUCUGGACUCAGCCCCAGAGGUCUGCCCAGGUGGGGUCUGCCCAGGUGGGGUCUCCCCAGCUUUGUCGACCGGCCACAUGUGCGACGAGGGCUGAGCCCCCUCAUGGCAGGGGUGGGUGAUUUCUCACACUGCGAGGGGGGCUUCCGCGGGUGAGCUCCCUGAGCUGUCGCUGUCUUUCUCCUGAGACUCCUCCGCCGCGAGCACAGCAGACUUCACGGUCCUCACAACCGUCACGGCUCCAUAUCCUUCAGGCACUGGGGUGGUUCCACGUGCUAAUGCUGCCCUUGCCCCUGCUCUGCGCUCCCAUUCAGCACAGACGGGACAGUCGUCGUCGUCGUGAGGCUCGGAAGGGGGGAGGGGUUAGCCCCUUCUCGUAGCACGAGCAACCGCGUCUGUGACCGUUCAUUCCACAUGCCAACUCGACUGGGCCACAGAACGUCCAAAUAGUUGGUUGAACAUUAUUCUGGGCAUGUCUGUGAGGGUAGUUUUGGCUGAGAUUAACAUUUGAAUCAGUAGACUGAGCAAAGCCGGAGCCCUCCCCCAACGUGGGUGGGCCUCACCUAAUCAGUCGCAGGCCCGAACAGACCACAAAUACCAACCGUCUCCCCUGAGUAAGGGAAACUCCUCCAGCAGGUGCCUUCCGACUGCACAUCGGCUCCACCCGAGGCUCCAGGCUGCAGGCCCACCUACAGAGCGGACUUACCAGCCUCCAUAACCACAUGGGCCCAUUGCUUAGGGUCAGUCCCCUUACACGUGUCUUACUGGUUGUGUUUCUCUGGAGAACCCUGUUACGGCGUCCUGCAGCUGGGCCAUCUGGCUGCCAUCAGACAGGACAUCUCACAUGGCGUUGCUGUAACCUGAUAGUCAGUCCCUCUGGUCCUGACAGCUGGGUUCCGCACACAGGCGCCCAGAACAGAGCCCCCCCAGGGUAGGUGCCCGGCAGCACAAGUCGGUGCCCCAGCAUCCUUCCGAGGAGACCAGCAAGGUCGCUGGCGGUCAGUCACAGACUUCCACAUUGAAAAGUCAGAGUCCAUGACACCACGGGCUCUCCGUUCCUCCUGCCGGCCAUCUGCACUCUAAGGGCGGCUUCUGGAAUGUUCUCGUCUCUCCUCAUCAACCCUCAGGGCCCCCUACCCGAGGCCCCUUUAUCACCCCAAACUCCUAUGCUCUGCAAUCAGUUAGUUUUAAACUGUUAUUAGCAUUUUAUUUGUAGAAUAGACUCCUGCUACAACUCCUGCGAGUUUUUACUUAGCACUGAUAUUACACUCAGCCUUGGCUUUGUGUGGUCUUGGUGUCGGGUCUCUGGUCUGUGGCUCUGGGGGAGCCGUAUUUGUAAACACGUGUUCAGCACCCCGACUGGUGCAGGCGUGUUGGCGGGGCAGACUUCCAGGGCGGCAGUGCCCUGGGCUCAGUGACCCGCGCUGUCUCCCAGCCUUAGGUGCAGGUGGAGGUCCUGGACGACUUUGGCGCUGGUGUUCUUUGUAGAUAACCUGUUCUUUCAGUGGAGAAACCUGCAGGAUUUUCUUAGUGUGAGAGAUCACCACCUGCGUCAGGAUAUGAUCAGGACAUGUUUGUGUGUGCACACGUGUGUGCGCCUGUGCGUGUGCCCUGU